AUUGAACGCUGGCGGCAUGCCUUACACAUGCAAGUCGAACGGUAACGCGGGGCAACCUGGCGACGAGUGGCGAACGGGUGAGUAAUGCAUCGGAACGUGCCCAGUAGUGGGGGAUAGCCCGGCGAAAGCCGGAUUAAUACCGCAUACGACCUACGGGUGAAAGCGGGGGACCGUAAGGCCCCGCGCUAUUGGAGCGGCCGAUGUCAGAUUAGGUUGUUGGUGGGGUAAAGGCCUACCAAGCCGACGAUCUGUAGCUGGUCUGAGAGGACGACCGGCCAAACUGGGACUGAGACACGGCCCAGCCUCCUACGGGAGGCAGCAGUGGGGAAUUUUGGACAAUGGGGGCAACCCUGAUCCAGCCAUGCCGCGUGCGGGAAGAAGGCCUUCGGGUUGUAAACCGCUUUUGUCAGGGAAGAAACGCUCUGGGCUAAUACCCUGGGGUAAUGACGGUACCUGAAGAAUAAGCACCGGCUAACUACGUGCCAGCCGCCGCCGUAA
rnacentral:rRNA from 1 species